ACUCUCUCAGCUCUGCCCAGUUGCACCUGACUCGUGGUGCGACUGUCGUUUUCGAGAGGGAGAGCAAGUGAGUUUGUGUUUGCACGGCAGUGAGCCUGGCUGCAGUGGCGUAUCUGUUCCUUGUCGGACUCGACAGGC